GAUGAACGCUAGCGGCAGGCCUAAUACAUGCAAGUCGAACGGGCAGUAGCAAUACUGUUAGUGGCGUACGGGUGCGUAACACGUAAGCAACCUGCCCCCAACUGGGGGACAGUCUUCCGAAAGGGGGCUUAAUCCCGCAUAGUUCUUUUCUGUGGCAUCAGAGGAAAGAUAAAGCGAUAGCGGUUGGGGAGGGGCUUGCGCCGGAUUAGUUAGAUGGUGGGGUAACGGCCCACCAUGACCGUGAUCCGUAGGGGCUCUGAGAGGAGCGGCCCCCACA
rnacentral:rRNA from 1 species